rnacentral:rRNA from 1 species
AGUGAACGCUGGCGGCGUGCCUAAUACAUGCAAGUCGAACGGACAAGUAAGAGCUUGCUCUUAUGAGUUAGUGGCGCACGGGUGAGUAAUGUAUAGCUAAUCUGCCCUACACUAGAGGACAACAGUUGGAAACGGCUGCUAAUACUCUAUACUCCUAUCUUACAUAAGUUAGAUAGGGAAAGUUUUUCGGUGUAGGAUGAGGCUAUAUUGUAUCAGCUAGUUGGUGAGGUAAUGGCUCACCAAGGCUAUGACGCAUAACUGGUCUGAGAGGAUGAUCAGUCACACUGGAACUGAGACACGGUCCAGACUCCUACGGGAGGCAGCAGUAGGGAAUAUUGCUCAAUGGGGGAAACCCUGAAGCAGCAACGCCGCGUGGAGGAUGACACUUUUCGGAGCGUAAACUCCUUUUGCUAGGGAAGAAUAAUGACGGACCUAACGAUAGCCCGGCA